GACGAACGCUGGCGGCGUGCUUAACACAUGCCAGUCGAACGGUGAAGGGGUCUGCUUUUGUGGGCCCUGGAUGAGUGGCGAACGGGUGAGUAACACGUGAGUAACCUGCCCCCUUCUUCUGGAUAACCGCAUGAAAGUGUGGCUAAUACGGGAUAUUCUGGGUCUGUCGCAUGAUGGGUCUGGGAAAGAUUGCGCCUUUGGGUGUUUUUGGUGGGGGAUGGGCUCGCGGCCUAUCAGCUUGUUGGUGGGGUGAUGGCCUACCAAGGAGGUGACGGGUAGCCGAGAGGAGGGUGUGGAAGACCAGACUGGGACUGCGACACAGCCCAGACUGCUACGCGAGGGAGGAGUAGGGAAGAUUGCACGAUGGGGGCAAGCCUGAUGCAGCGGCGCCGCGUGAGAGGUGGAGGGCUUCGGGUUGUAAACCUCUUUCGCAAGAAAAGCAGGCCUGCUCCUUGUGGGUGGGUUGACGGUAGCUGGAUAAGAAGCGCCGGCUAACUACGUG
rnacentral:rRNA from 1 species